rnacentral:rRNA from 1 species
AAUGAGAGCGGACGGAACGGGUGAAGUAACACGGUAGGUGAUCUGCCCAUCAGGACGGGGACAACGAUUAGGAAACGAUCGACUAAGUACCGGAUAGGACGAAAGUUUAAAGGUGCUUCUGGCACCGCUGAUGGAUGAGCCUGCGGCGCAUUAGCUAGUUGGUAGGGUAAAGGCCUACCAAGGCGACGAUGCGUAGCCGACCUGAGAGGGUGAACGGCCACACUGGGACUGAGACACGGCCCAGACUCCUACGGGAGGCAGCAGUGGGGAAUAUUGGGCAAUGGGGGAAACCCUGACCCAGCAACGCCGCGUGAAGGAAGAAGGCCUUCGGGUUGUAAACUUCUUUUAGUAGGGACGAAGAACGUGACGGUACCUACAGAAAAAGCAACGGCUAACUACGUG